AUGAGUAACACGUAUCCAACCUGCCGUCUACUCUUGGACAGCCUUCUGAAAGGAAGAUUAAUACAAGAUGGCAUCAUGAGUCCGCAUGUUCACAUGAUUAAAGGUAUUCCGGUAGACGAUGGGGAUGCGUUCCAUUAGAUAGUACGCGGGGUAACGGCUCACCUAGUCUUCGAUGGAUAGGGGUUCUGAGAGGAAGGUCCCCCACAUUGGAACUGAGACACGGUCCAAACUCCUACGGGAGGCGGCAGUGAGGAAUAUUGGUCAAUGGGCGAGAGCCUGAACCAGCCAAGUAGCGUGAAGGAUGACUGCCCUAUGGGUUGUAAACUUCUUCUAUAAAGGAAUAAAGUCGGGUAUGCAUACCCGUUUGCAUGUACUUUAUGAAUAAGGAUCGGCUAACUCCGUGCCAGCAGCCGCGGUAAUACGGAGGAUCCGAGCGUUAUCCGGAUUUAUUG
rnacentral:rRNA from 1 species